rnacentral:rRNA from 1 species
AACGAACGCUGGCGGCAUGCCUAACACAUGCAAGUCGAACGAGACCUUCGGGUCUAGUGGCGCACGGGUGCGUAACGCGUGGGAAUCUGCCCUUGGGUUCGGGAUAACAGUUGGAAACGACUGCUAAUACCGGAUGAUGACUUCGGUCCAAAGAUUUAUCGCCCAGGGAUGAGCCCGCGUCGGAUUAGCUAGUUGGUGAGGUAAGAGCUCACCAAGGCGACGAUCCGUAGCUGGUCUGAGAGGAUGAUCAGCCACACUGGGACUGAGACACGGCCCAGACUCCUACGGGAGGCAGCAGUGGGGAAUACUGGGCAAUGGGCGAAAGCCUGAUCCAGCAAUGCCGCGUGAGUGAUGAAGGCCUUAGGGUUGUAAAGCUCUUUUACCCGGGAUGAUAAUGACAGUACCGGGAGAAUAAGCCCCGGCUAACUCCGUG